rnacentral:rRNA from 1 species
UACGGGGGGCAAGCGUUGUUCGGAAUUACUGGGCGUAAAGGGCUCGUAGGCGGCCAACUAAGUCAUACGUGAAAUCCCUCGGCUUAACCGGGGAACUGCGUCUGAUACUGGAUGGCUUGAGUUUGGGAGAGGGAUGCGGAAUUCCAGGUGUAGCGGUGAAAUGCGCAGAUAUCGGGAGGAACACCAGAGGCGAAGGCGGCUUCUGGCCUGUAACUGACGCUGAGGCGCGAAGGCUGGGGUAGCGAACAGG